rnacentral:rRNA from 1 species
CGUGUAGGCGGUUUGUCAAGUCGGGUGUGAAAGCCUGGAGCUCAGCCCCAGAAGUGCAUCCGAAACUAGCGAGCUAGAGCGCGAUAGAGGAGGGUGGAAUUCCUGGUGUAGCGGUGAAAUGCGUAGAUAUCAGGAGGAACACCGGCGGCGAAGGCGGCCCUCUGGAUCGUUGCUGACGCUGAGACGCGAAAGCGUGGGGAGCAAACAGGAUUAGAUACCCUGGUAGUCCACGCCUUAAACGAUGGGUACUAGGUGUUCGGGGUGUUGACCCCCUGAGUGCCGCAGUUAACGCAUUAAGUACCCCGCCUGGGGACUACGGCCGCAAGGUUAAA